UAGCUAGUUUUUUUAGCUAUUCGAAUUUUGUAUUUAAUGGAUGAAAUAAAAAAUCCUAUAUUAACAUGUAAAGUAUUAGGCCAUCAGUGAUUUUGAAGCUACGAAUAUAGAGAUUUUAGUGGUUUUGAGUUUGACUCAUAUAUAGUUUUUAAUUUGAUGCGGUUGCUAGAAGUUGACCAGAAGCCAGUCAGAAGUUCGGUCUUUGGGCGUACUUGUCUGGGAAGUCCUUACCUUAGGCCAGCGACCAUAUCCAGCCAGAUCAAACUUAGAAGUCCGUAAUUUUGUUAGGAAUGGCGGCCGGCUGAGUAAACCAUGCAAUGCCACAGAACAAUUGUAUGAACUUAUGAAGCGUUGUUGGAGCUUUUUACCAUCAGAUCGACCAUCAUUCCGUUUCUUUCGAGAAACUUUGGAGUCCAUUAUAAGGAAACUUAUAUGACGCGGGAGAGGCUGCGGGCGCGGGGAAGCGGGGAAGGCACCGGUCGCGGAACGCAGACCGAGGAGCGACAAUUCGGGAUAUGAGCUGCUAGUUUUCACGGCGGUGACGGCGUGGACAUUCCGCCCCCCAUAAUGCCUCGUAGAGGGAUUAUAGAAUGAAAAUAAUGGAGGCAACAAAGGUUAUUUAGAAGGUACAAAAACAGUCAUGUAUUGAUACAGAGUUUAGGAGAGAACAUAUACAUGAAGAUACAUUUCAUAUUACAAUAGCGAUACAUGAAGAUAAUGAUAGAAAAGCUACAUUCUGGAGCUGCUGUCCUCGUGUUCCCUUGCCCUGCUACGGGAGCGGGCGAUCAGGUGCUCUAGUUGGCGCCUUACCCAGGCGGGGAGGAGAGACAUAUAAACAUAUACAUUGAAAAAAGUCAUCAUAUCACCAAGAAUAAAUAAUAUUUUAUUCAUACAAUGUAAUAUAACAAUAUAAGAACAAGAUUGAUUGAAGAUUAUUGACAUUUCCGUCUCUGAAGACUAGUGAGGACUUGUAACUCAAGCCACGAAUACCCUUACGGCGUCGAUCACCGGCUCUCUGCACGUCGGGCAUCGCUGGUCCUGCAUCGGUGGGACCUGCCUGAUCAGCACUUCGUUGCACGGUUCACAAACCGCGAAGUGCCGGCAAGGGAGGAACAUAAUCUCCCUUUCCCUGUCCAGGCAUACGAUACAUCCUAAAAGAAUAAGAAAUAAAAUGAAAAAAAAAA